UUAAGCGACUAAGCGUACACGGUGGAUGCCCUGGCAGUCAGAGGCGAUGAAGGACGUGCUAAUCUGCGAAAAGCGUCGGUAAGGUGAUAUGAACCGUUACAGCCGGCGAUGUCCGAAUGGGGAAACCCAGUGCAAUUCGUUGCACUAUCGUUAACUGAAUACAUAGGUUAACGAGGCGAACCGGGGGAACUGAAACAUCUAAGUACCCCGAGGAAAAGAAAUCAACCGAGAUUCCCCCAGUAGCGGCGAGCGAACGGGGAGCAGCCCAGAGUCUGAAUCAGCUUGUGUGUUAGUGGAACGGUCUGGAAAGUCCGACGGUACAGGGUGAUAGUCCCGUACACCAAAAUGCACAGGCUGUGAACUCGAAGAGUAGGGCGGGACACGUGGUAUCCUGUCUGAAUAUGGGGGGACCAUCCUCCAAGGCUAAAUACUCCUGACUGACCGAUAGUGAACCAGUACCGUGAGGGAAAGGCGAAAAGAACCCCGGCGAGGGGAGUGAAAAAGAACCUGAAACCGUGUACGUACAAGCAGUGGGAGCACCUUCGGGUGUGACUGCGUACCUUUUGUAUAAUGGGUCAGCGACUUAUAUUCUGUAGCAAGGUUAACCGUAUAGGGGAGCCGCAGGGAAACCGAGUCUUAACUGGGCGUUAAGUUGCAGGGUAUAGACCCGAAACCCGGUGAUCUAGCCAUGGGCAGGUUGAAGGUUGGGUAACACUAACUGGAGGACCGAACCGACUAAUGUUGAAAAAUUAGCGGAUGACUUGUGGCUGGGGGUGAAAGGCCAAUCAAACCGGGAGAUAGCUGGUUCUCCCCGAAAGCUAUUUAGGUAGCGCCUCGUGAAUUCAUCUUCGGGGGUAGAGCACUGUUUCGGCUAGGGGGUCAUCCCGACUUACCAACCCGAUGCAAACUACGAAUACCGAAGAAUGUUAUCACGGGAGACACACGGCGGGUGCUAACGUCCGUCGUGAAGAGGGAAACAACCCAGACCGCCAGCUAAGGUCCCAAAGUCAUGGUUAAGUGGGAAACGAUGUGGGAAGGCACAGACAGCCAGGAUGUUGGCUUAGAAGCAGCCAUCAUUUAAAGAAAGCGUAAUAGCUCACUGGUCGAGUCGGCCUGCGCGGAAGAUGUAACGGGGCUAAACCAUGCACCGAAGCUGCGGCAGCGACACUAUGUGUUGUUGGGUAGGGGAGCGUUCUGUAAGCCUGCGAAGGUGACCUGUGAGGGUUGCUGGAGGUAUCAGAAGUGCGAAUGCUGACAUAAGUAACGAUAAAGCGGGUGAAAAGCCCGCUCGCCGGAAGACCAAGGGUUCCUGUCCAACGUUAAUCGGGGCAGGGUGAGUCGACCCCUAAGGCGAGGCCGAAAGGCGUAGUCGAUGGGAAACAGGUUAAUAUUCCUGUACUUGGUGUUACUGCGAAGGGGGGACGGAGAAGGCUAUGUUAGCCGGGCGACGGUUGUCCCGGUUUAAGCAUGUAGGCUGGUUAUCCAGGCAAAUCCGGAUAAUCAAGGCUGAGGUGUGAUGACGAGGCACUACGGUGCUGAAGUAACAAAUGCCCUGCUUCCAGGAAAAGCCUCUAAGCAUCAGGUAACAUCAAAUCGUACCCCAAACCGACACAGGUGGUCAGGUAGAGAAUACCAAGGCGCUUGAGAGAACUCGGGUGAAGGAACUAGGCAAAAUGGUGCCGUAACUUCGGGAGAAGGCACGCUGGUGUGUAGGUGAAGUCCCUGCGGAUGGAGCUGAGGCCAGUCGAAGAUACCAGCUGGCUGCAACUGUUUAUUAAAAACACAGCACUGUGCAAACACGAAAGUGGACGUAUACGGUGUGACGCCUGCCCGGUGCCGGAAGGUUAAUUGAUGGGGUUAUCCGUAAGGAGAAGCUCUUGAUCGAAGCCCCGGUAAACGGCGGCCGUAACUAUAACGGUCCUAAGGUAGCGAAAUUCCUUGUCGGGUAAGUUCCGACCUGCACGAAUGGCGUAAUGAUGGCCAGGCUGUCUCCACCCGAGACUCAGUGAAAUUGAACUCGCUGUGAAGAUGCAGUGUACCCGCGGCAAGACGGAAAGACCCCGUGAACCUUUACUAUAGCUUGACACUGAACAUUGAGCCUUGAUGUGUAGGAUAGGUGGGAGGCUUUGAAGCGUGGACGCCAGUCUGCGUGGAGCCAACCUUGAAAUACCACCCUUUAAUGUUUGAUGUUCUAACGUUGGCCCCUUACCGGGGUUGCGGACAGUGUCUGGUGGGUAGUUUGACUGGGGCGGUCUCCUCCCAAAGCGUAACGGAGGAGCACGAAGGUUAGCUAAUCCUGGUCGGACAUCAGGAGGUUAGUGCAAUGGCAUAAGCUAGCUUGACUGCGAGCGUGACGGCGCGAGCAGGUGCGAAAGCAGGUCAUAGUGAUCCGGUGGUUCUGAAUGGAAGGGCCAUCGCUCAACGGAUAAAAGGUACUCCGGGGAUAACAGGCUGAUACCGCCCAAGAGUUCAUAUCGACGGCGGUGUUUGGCACCUCGAUGUCGGCUCAUCACAUCCUGGGGCUGAAGUAGGUCCCAAGGGUAUGGCUGUUCGCCAUUUAAAGUGGUACGCGAGCUGGGUUUAGAACGUCGUGAGACAGUUCGGUCCCUAUCUGCCGUGGGCGCUGGAGAAUUGAGGGGGGCUGCUCCUAGUACGAGAGGACCGGAGUGGACGCAUCACUGGUGUUCGGGUUGUCAUGCCAAUGGCACUGCCCGGUAGCUAAAUGCGGAAGAGAUAAGUGCUGAAAGCAUCUAAGCACGAAACUUGCCCCGAGAUGAGUUCUCCCUGAGACUUUAAGUCUCCUGAAGGAACGUUAAAGACGAUGACGUUGAUAGGCCGGGUGUGUAAGCGCAGCGAUGCGUUGAGCUAACCGGUACUAAUGAACCGUGAGGCUUAACCUU
rnacentral:rRNA from 1 species